ensembl:lncRNA
GUUUACUUAUCUCAGGUAUACUUUAUAAUACUCUUAACUUGGAGAAAAUCCCAAAGACUAAAUUCCAUUGUUUUGAGAAAAAAGCAAUUAUCUGUUCUAAUUUUACUUGUUAAGUUUUACUUGGGAGGUUUCAUAGAAAUAGUAGCAUAUUCUCUAAAUCUCAGUUUUUGAAUAAUGGAGUUUGUCAUAAAAUUUUCUGGUUUUGAAUAUGUGUGAGUUAGCACAGUACUGCAUCUUAUUUGGCAGGACUUAAAACAUCAUUAGAAUUCUUGCCAAGAAAGGCAGCUUGAAGUAUUAUCAUGGUGGAAUAUACUGUUAACUGCAGGUAAGGAAUUGGUUCAUAUUCUCAGAUUUAAAUUUGUGAUUUUCAUUUUAGACAAUUUCAGACAUAGUACUUUUUGCAGUUUCCAGGAUGGAAGUAGUGUAUUUAUCAACUUGGACCACAAGACAAAUGAUACUUAAACUGAUCUCUUUAAGCUGGAGAAUGGGAUAGAGAGGAUGAUGCUUGAGGAAGUGUUGUGAACACUUAAUUCUUUGAGAAGAAUGCAUGUUUCACCAUGUAAACCAGGCAGUGUGGUCAAGUGUAGCAUAACAGUGCUUUUAAAGGGCCAAGCACUAUUAGAAGGGAGGGUCACAGCCUGUGUAAUAAUGUCAUAUUUAUUAGGAGUAAGUAAAAAUGAAAGGAAAACCAGUAACUACUGUCAGUGCCUAAGAAAGUACAGGAGAAUUAAGUUCUUAGAGAUGAAAACUAAUUUAUGUAUUUUUUUAGAAAAAAAUCAUCUUGCAAGGUUUUCUAGAAAUCAGCCAACCUAGGGAAAGAGCAGGGGACUAGGUGAUCUCUCAAGAUUCCUUUUUAUUCCAUGAAGCCAGUAAACACCACUAUUCACAAUAGCCAAGAUGUGGAAAAACCCUUAAUGUUCACCAGCAGAUGAGUGGAUAAAGAAACUGGUAUGUACACACAAUGGAAUUCUGCUCAGCCCUGAAAAAGAAGUAAAUUCUGAAACAGGCAACAACAUAGAUGAAGCCUGAGGACAUUAUGCUAAGGGAAAUCAGUCAGUCGCAGAAAGACAAAUACUGCAUGAUUCCACUUAUAUGAGGUUUCUAAAAUACUCAAGUUCAUAGAAUCAAAGAGUGGAGUGAUAGUUGCCAAGGGGUAGAGGGAAACGGGGAGUUCCUAAUCAAUCAAUGGGCAUAAAGUCUCAGUUAAGCAAUAUGAGUGCGCUUGGGAGAUCUGUUGUACUGUACACUUAAAAGAGGGUAGAUCUCAUAUUAACUGUUGUUACCACAAUAAAAUUUAAAUAAGAUGCCAUGUAUUUGAAGUCGAAUUCUAUAAAGCUCACAAAAGAACACAUCUAAUAAGUGUUUGAGGAUAUAUACGUUCACUUCAGAGAAUAACACAUUAGUGUAAACUGAAAAAUCGCUUCUAAAACUUUGCUACCUGAGGGUGGGGGGACAGCAAAAAGCAACAGCACAUUAAGCCAUCAGAAAAGUAUCGUUAAGUGGUCGCCCAGCUAUUAAAGGUACCAUGAAACGAGAUUAAUAUUGUUUAAUAUUUAAUAUUAAUAU